rnacentral:rRNA from 1 species
CACGUAGGGUGCGAGCGUUGUCCGGAAUUAUUGGGCGUAAAGAGCUCGUAGGUGGUUUGUCGCGUUGUCCGUGAAAACUCACAACUCAAUUGUGGGCGUGCGGGCGGAUACGGGCAGACUGGAGUACUGCAGGGGGAGACUGGAAUUCCUGGUGUAGCGGUGGAAAUGCGCAGAGUAUCAGGAGGAACACCGGUGGCGAAGGCGGGUCUCUGGGCCAGUGAACUGACGCUGAGGAGCGAAAGCGUGGGGGAGCGAACAGG